rnacentral:lncRNA from 1 species
UGGUUAAUGAUUAUGACCCAUCCUACAUACUAGUGUGCAAUUCGCAAGGAGACUUAUUCUUGUUAACAAAUUGACUCUGGCUGGGACUUAAAAUAUUAAAGGACCUUCUUUCUUGAUAUCUUUGGGCGAUGGCCGUCUUUCGCUAUCAUUGGGGACUUGUACUCAAUCCUGGAGGCUUACCUCAUCCAUUAAAACUUGAGAUGGACUUUGAUGUACACUAAUGAGUGACAGAUCAUCUUUUACCAAGAUAGGACAGCUUAUAUUCAUUAUAUCUUUUUAAUUGUACAACAUUACUGUAUAUACUGAGAUAUUUAACUGGUGUUGUUUAAUUACUGUGGUGUGUAAACUGUUUUACCUGUAUUUUAGUGUAGUAUUAAGUUUAUUAUAACAAUAACAAUGACUAUUUAGCUAACUAUUAGGUGUGAUAAUGGCAGUAGUGACGUUAUUACUCUAAA